rnacentral:tmRNA from 1 species
CGUGGCCCCUCUCGUAAAUCCCAGACCUCAAGCCAUAACUGGCAACAACUCUUAUGCACUCGCUGCGUAGUCUAGCCUGAGGCAGACUCCUUAAUCGCGUGGACCAGGUCCAUAGCGACGAGUAUCCCGCCGGGGUUUGCGCCCUCUAUCCACGGCAUACGGGGUAUCAUCCAAGAGGGAUGCUCGCGUUCACUCCUCUACGGCGCGUUAAGAUUUAGAGGAUAAGGGUCCGGUGGCCCGCCUGCAGGCAGCCGUUCCCCGACAAUCAAGAGCAGGAUAAACGUGUAGAAAGCCUUCUGGUGCUUUAUUCGGACGGCGGUUCGACCCCGCCCAUCUCCACAA